GUUAAGCCAAUUAUGAUUAGGAGGUGCGGUAGGAAAGAAUAUGAUGACUUGUGAAGGAGAGGCUGAGAAGUGACAAAGUCAUACAAAGCCAUAUUAUAAAUACUCCCUGCUUCCCAAAUUAUAAUUCAUUCCAGUUUUAUUAUAUUCAUAGAUUAUGCACUUGGAUAUAUCCUACGUCUAGAUGUAUAAUAAUAUCUAUGAAUCUAGAAAUGCCAAAACGACCAGUAACUUGAGAGGGGGAGUACAUUGGAAAAACGGUUUUAUUCAUCACAACUUAAAUAAUCCAACUGCAUGUUUUUAUAUGGCCUAAAAUUUUGAUGGAGGAGAAAAUACCAAGCUAGGAGCUACCGUCAUGUUUGAGUUAUUUACCUCGUAUUGUUGUAUAUUAUUGAAUUGCUGACCGCAUGAUCUAAAUGAAGUUUGUGUUUUCUUUAGAAAGAAGGUAGGACAAGCAUGUGCCUUUUAACCAUUGAAUGUAUUUUAGAGCAUCUUCAGCAUAUUAUCAAAAUCCCAUUACCAAAAUAUUUUCUCUUUCCAUCUCCAAUAGCAGUUUUUUAAUUUUUAGAGUCCAUUGCUACAACAUACUACCAAAAGAUCAUCUCCAAAAUCCUUCUUACAGGUAGGCCCCGCUUUGUCAGUGUGUGCAUCGUUUUAACCCCCAUCCCUUCCCCUAGUCUCCUUCCUCCUCGGUCUCCC
rnacentral:lncRNA from 1 species